rnacentral:rRNA from 1 species
AGGACGGGGACAACAGUUGGAAACGACUGCUAAUACCCGAUGUGCCGCGAGGUGAAACCUAAUUGGCCUGAAGAAGAGCUUGCGUCUGAUUAGCUAGUUGGUGGGGUAAAGGCCUACCAAGGCGACGAUCAGUAGCUGGUCUGAGAGGAUGAGCAGCCACACUGGGACUGAGACACGGCCCAGACUCCUACGGGAGGCAGCAGUGGGGAAUUUUCCGCAAUGGGCGAAAGCCUGACGGAGCAACGCCGCGUGAGGGAGGAAGGUCUUUGGAUUGUAAACCUCUUUUCUCAAGGAAGAAGUUCUGACGGUACUUGAGGAAUCAGCCUCGGCUAACUCCGUGCCAGCAGCCGCGGUAAUACGGGGGAGGCAAGCGUUAUCCGGAAUUAUUGGGCGUAAAGCGUCCGCAGGUGGUCAGCCAAGUCUGCCGUCAAAUCAGGUUGCUUAACGACCUAAAGGCGGUGGAAACUGGCAGACUAGAGAUCAGUAGGGGUAGCAGGAAUUCCCAGUGUAGCGGUGAAAUGCGUAGAGAUUGGGAAGAACAUCGGUGGCGAAAGCGUGCUACUGGGCUGUAUCUGACACUCAGGGACGAAAGCUAGGGGAGCGAAAGGGAUUAGAUACCCCUGUAGUCCUAGCCGUAAACGAUGGAUACUANGCGUGGCUUGUAUCGACCCGAGCCGUGCCGAAGCUAACGCGUUAAGUAUCCCGCCUGGGGAGUACGCACGCAGUGUGAAACUCAAAGGAAUUGACGGGGGCCCGCACAAGCGGUGNAGUAUGUGGNUUANNUUCNAUGCNACGCGAANAA